rnacentral:rRNA from 1 species
GACGAACGCUGGCGGCGUGCUUAACCCAUGCAAUUCGAACGGAAGGGCCCUGCUUUUUUGGGUUGCUCGAUUGGCGAACGGGUGAUUAACACGUGAUUAACCUGCCCUUGCCUUUGGGAUAACUUCAGGAAACUGGGGCUAAUACCGGAUAGGAGCUCCUGCUGCAUGGUGGGGGUUGGAAAGUUUCGGCGGUUGGGGAUGGACUCGCGGCUUAUCAGCUUGUUGGUGGGGUAGUGGCUUACCAAGGCUUUGACGGGUAGCCGGCCUGAGAGGGUGACCGGCCACAUUGGGACUGAGAUACGGCCCAGACUCCUACGGGAGGCAGCAGUGGGGAAUAUUGCACAAUGGGCGGAAGCCUGAUGCAGCAACGCCGCGUGCGGGAUGACGGCCUUCGGGUUGUAAACCGCUUUCGCCUGUGACGAAGCGUGAGUGACGGUAAUGGGUAAAGAAGCACCGGCUAACUACGUG